GCGACCCCAGGAUGGGCGAGGCCACCCGCUGAGUUUAAGGAAUAUC
rnacentral:rRNA from 1 species